UUUCCAAGCUAGUGGAAAAAGCUGGUCAGAGAGAACAAAACCCAAGUGCAGAGAGACAAGGAGACAGAAAUGGGGAAGAGUAGUCUGAAGGAAGAAGGCCCAGGCCCUAAUUUCAUCGUCACCAACGCCCACCAGGAGACUGCCUUUGCCACCUUUUGGUUAUAUGCGGGAACUGAGGUUCAGAGAGUUUGAAAUAAGGAACUCAUUCAUACAGCCGCCUGAGAAAUUGCAGGCAGGUCCUUCAUUCCUGGAAAUGCUUUCCUCUGC